GCAGUGGAGUAUGUGGUUAAUUCGAGCAACGCGAAGAACCUUACCUGGGUUUGAAAUCCCACGAAUCUGGCUGAAAGGCUGGAGUGCCCUUCGGGGAGCGUGGAGACAGGUGCUGCAUGGCUGUCGUCAGGCUCGUGUCGUGAGAUGUCGGUUAAGUCCGGCAACGAGCGCAACCCUUGUCCCUAGUGCCAGCGUAAAGUCGGGAACUCUAGGGAGACUGCCGAUGUAAAAUCGGAGGAAGGUGGGGACGACGUCAAGUCAUCAUGGCCCCUACGUCCAGGGCCACACACGUACUACAAUGGCCGAUACAAAGGGCUGCAAUACCGCGAGGUGGAGCGAAUCUCAAAAAAUCGGCCUCAGUUCAGAUAGGAGUCUGCAACUCGACUCCUUGAAGUCGGAAUUGCUAGUAAUCGCAGAUCAGCAUGCUGCAGUGAAUACGUUCCCGGGC
rnacentral:rRNA from 1 species